GCUGCUGCUGGUGUAAGAGCCGCGCUACAGGCUGGAACAGCCAGCGGUGCUCAACCACCACAAACUGAGGGACGGGUAAGGAUGUCAUCCGUGGGACUACGACAGUCGCAUUCGGUUCCACUCCCUUCUUUUCCACCCUUGGGAAGAGCCAGCUUUCAUCGUGGGAAUUUUUGCAGAAGACACAAAUUUUACACCAAGGAUGUUGUGUGUUUACCAUUCCAUUCAGGGUCUUCAUUCACAAUACCCAGAGGGGAAAAUAGAGCUCGACUAGCUGAAUGUGGCCUUAUUGGCAAGAUUUCCUUUAGUAAUGAAUGGUCAGAAGGGCAAAUGAGAGAGGAGAUCGGCACCCUUUUUAAAACCAAAUUUAAUGUAGCAGAACACGAAACGUUCUCGUUCGAAUAUUUAAGUACAGUAAGAGAGUCAAAAAAAUUGACUAAACCAAAUGUAUCGCAGCAUUUCCUCUGGGGAGGGGAAGAGGUUGCAACCCUUUGCUCUAACUCUUGUCUGUACAUUUUGGCUGGAAUACAGAGACCUGCUCAGUCCUGUGGUCCUGGAAGAGCACGCAGUCGAAGAAGCUAUUCAGCAGAGUCUACAGGAAGAUUCUCAGGAUGGCAUAUUUGA